AUUGAACGCUGGCGGCAGGCUUAACACAUGCAAGUCGAGCGAGCGGCGGACGGGUGUGUAAUGUCUGGGAAACUGCCUGAUGGAGGGGGCUAACUACUGGAAACGGUAGCUAAUACUGCAUACCAGCCGAUGUGCCCAGAAGGGAUUAGCUAGUAGGUGGGGUAAAGGCUCACCUAGGAGACGAUCCCUAGCUGGUCUGAGAGGAUGACCGGCCACACUGGAACUGAGACACGGUCCAGACUCCGACGGGAGGCAGCAGUGGGGAAUAUUGCACAAUGGGCGCAAGCCUGAUGGAGCCAUGCCGCGUGUGUGAAGAAGGCCUUCGGGUUGUAAAGCACUUUCAGUGGGGAGGCGGUACUCGCAGAAAAAGCAACGGCUAACUCCGUGCCAGCAGCCGCGGUAAUAC
rnacentral:rRNA from 1 species